AGGUCCUGCUGUUGGAAGAAGAUCGACGCCCGGACGCCCAGAAGACCCAGGAGGACGUCCCGGACUACGAGAAGACCCCGAGGACCUCGGAAGACUACGAAGAGCUGCCAGUUUGGCAAGAUGCAGGGUCCGAUCAGGAGUUCGACGCCAACAACAACGGAUGGUACGAUUGAAGCUUAGAAGCCCAUGCUACGCUCAAGUGCUGCCUGUGGAGAUGAAGUUCGAGUUGAAGGAUGGCCUGAAGACCAGCUACCGCUACCGUUUUCUGUUUGUUCCAGUUUAGCCCAAUGGGCUUGUAAUAAAAGUUUUGUACUGCAAAUCCUCUGGAUAUUAUAAUAAUUAAAUCUAUGUUUGAACC